rnacentral:rRNA from 1 species
AUUGCCUCAGUAACGGCGAGUGAAGCGGCAACAGCUCAAAUUUGAAAUCUGGCCCUGGGCCCGAGUUGUAAUUUGCAGAGGAUGCUUCGGGCGCGGUGCCUUCCAAGUCCCCUGGAACGGGGCGCCACAGAGGGUGAGAGCCCCGUCAGGUCGGCCGCCAAGCCUAUGUGAAGCUCCUUCGACGAGUCGAGUAGUUUGGGAAUGCUGCUCUAAAUGGGAGGUAGACCCCUUCUAAAGCUAAAUACCGGCCAGAGACCGAUAGCGCACAAGUAGAGUGAUCGAAAGAUGAAAAGCACUUUGAAAAGAGGGUUAAACAGUACGUGAAAUUGUUGAAAGGGAAGCGCUUGUGACCAGACGUGCACCGGGCGCUCAGCGGGCGUUCUCGCCCGUGCACUCGCCCCGGUGCAGGCCAGCGUCGGUUCGGGAGGGGGGACAAAGGCAUCAGGAACGUAGCUCCCCCGGGAGUGUUAUAGCCUGGCGCGCCAUGCCCCCGCCCGGACCGAGGUUCGCGCUCCGCAAGGACGCUGGCGUAAUGGUCCCCAGCGGCCCGUCUUGAAACACGGACCAAGGAGUCGAGGUUUUGCGCGAGUGUUUGGGUGUCAAACCCGCACGCGUAAUGAAAGUGAACGCAGGUGGGAGCUUCGGCGCACCACCGACCGAUCCUGAUGUUCUCGGAUGGAUUUGAGUAGGAGCGUAGGGCCUCGGACCCGAAAGAUGGUGAACUAUACUUGGAUAGGGUGAAGCCAGAGGAAACUCUGGUGGAGGCUCGCAGCGGUUCUGACGUGCAAAUCGAUCGUCAAAUCUGAGUAUGGGGGCGAAAGACUAAUCGAACCAUCUAGUAGCUGGUUACCGCCGAAGUUUCCCUCAGGAUAGCAGUGUUGAUCUCAGUUUUAUGAGGUAAAGCGAAUGAUUAGGGACUCGGGGGCGCUUUUCAGCCUUCAUCCAUUCUCAAACUUUAAAUAUGUAAGAAGCCCUUGUUGCUUAAUUGAACGUGGGCCUUCGAAUGCAGCAACACUAGUGGGCCAUUUUUGGUAAGCAGAACUGGCGAUGUGGGAUGAACCAUACGGGGGGUUAAGGUGCCGGAGUGGACGCUCAUCAGACACCACAAAAGGCGUUAGCACAUCUUGACAGCAGGACGGUGGCCAUGGAAGUCGGAAUCCGCUAAGGACUGUGUAACAACUCACCUGCCGAAUGUGCUAGCCCUGAAAAUGGAUGGCGCUCAAGCGUCCCACCCAUACCCCCCCCUCAGGGUAGAAACGAUGCCCUGAGGAGUAGGCGGCCGCAGCGCUGUGUGACGAAGGCUAGGGC